rnacentral:rRNA from 1 species
AUUGAACGCUGGCGGAAUGCUUUACACAUGCAAGUCGAACGGCAGCACGGGGGCAACCCUGGUGGCGAGUGGCGAACGGGUGAGUAAUACAUCGGAACGUGCCCAGUCGUGGGGGAUAACUACGCGAAAGCGUAGCUAAUACCGCAUACGAUCUACGGAUGAAAGCGGGGGAUCGCAAGACCUCGCGCGAUUGGAGCGGCCGAUGGCAGAUUAGGUAGUUGGUGGGGAAAGGCUCACCAAGCCGUCGAUCUGUAGCUGGUCUGAGAGGACGACCAGCCACACUGGGACUGAGACACGGCCCAGACUCCUACGGGAGCAGCAGUAAGGAAUAUUGGACAAUGGUGGAAACACUGAUCCAGCCAUGCCGCGUGCAGGAUGAAUGCCCUAUGGGUUGUAAACUGUCUUUUAUAACGGGAAAAACCCUACUACGUGUAGUAGGCUGAGUGGUACCGUAAGAAUAAGGAUCGGCUAACUUCGUGCCAGCAGCCG